AACCAUAGAAACCUGCGGAGUACCUGCGGAAGGAUCAUUAGUGAAUGAUUGGCCUAACGGCCUUAUCAAUCUUAAUCCCAACAACACCUCUGUGAACCGUUUUCGGCCCUCGGGCUGAUUUUUCUUUUUAUAUUUACCCAUACAAACAUUGUGUAAUGAACGUCUUGUUAUCUUAACAAAACAAAACUUUCAACAACGGAUCU
rnacentral:misc_RNA from 1 species